AAUGAAGCAGCUUUUCAGGUUCACAGGCACUGUGGGCUCGCUUGCUCUCCUUAAAUAGCCAAGCCUCCCUCCUGCAGCUACAAGAAAUCUACCUGGAGCACCUUCCACGACUGGCUCACAGGCUGCCUGCUUCCUGUUCUUUCCCUCCUGGGUCCUCUGUGAGAGCCACACCAUGAAUGGCCUGGAGGCAGCCCUCCCAAGUCUGCCGGACAACUCCUCCCUGGCUUACACUGAGCAAUGUGGACAGGAGACCCCCCUCGAGAACAUGCUUUUCGCUUGCUUCUACCUUCUGGAUUUCAUCCUAGCUUUUGUGGGCAAUUCUCUGGCCCUGUGGCUCUUCAUAUGGGACCAGAAGUCAGGGACCCCGGCCAACGUGUUCCUGAUGCACCUGGCGGUGGCCGACUUGUCCUGUGUACUGGUCCUGCCCACUCGGCUGGUUUAUCACUUCUCUGGGAAUCACUGGCCAUUCGGGGAAAUCCCGUGCCGACUCACUGGCUUCCUCUUCUACCUCAAUAUGUAUGCCAGCAUCUACUUCCUCACCUGCAUCAGCGCUGAUCGCUUCCUGGCCAUCGUGCACCCUGUCAAGUCCCUCAAGCUUCGGCGACCUCUCUAUGCCCACCUGGCCUGUGCCUUCCUGUGGGUGGUGGUGGCUGUGGCUAUGGCCCCACUGCUAGUCAGCCCACAGACUGUGCAGACCAACCACACGGUUGUCUGCCUGCAACUGUACCGGGAGAAAGCCUCCCACCACGCCCUGGCAUCCCUGGCUGUGGCUUUCACCUUCCCCUUCAUCACCACAGUCACCUGCUACCUGCUGAUCAUUCGCAGCCUGCGCCAGGGUCCCCGCAUAGAGAAGCAUCUCAAGAACAAAGCCGUCCGCAUGAUCGCUAUGGUUCUGGCCAUCUUCCUCAUCUGUUUUGUGCCCUACCACGUCCACCGUUCUGUUUAUGUGCUUCACUACCGUGGCGGGGGGACUUCAUGCACCGCUCAGCGUGCCCUGGCCCUAGGCAACCGGAUCACCUCCUGUCUCACCAGCCUCAAUGGGGCCCUGGACCCUGUCAUGUACUUCUUCGUUGCUGAGAAGUUCCGCCAUGCCUUGUGCAACUUGCUCUGCAGCAAACGGCUCACGGGCCCCCCUCCCAGCUUUGAAGGAAAGACCAACGAGAGCUCCCUGAGUGCCCGAUCUGAGCUGUGAGCCCUGAGCUGUAAGCCUCCAGGAUGUCUUGUCCCUAGGCCAGCUGUCAGAGAACCAGCUCUCCACUGGGGCACAUGCUGCCAGGGCUAGCUAAAGACCUCUGUCUUCCCUCGCCUCUUCCUGAGCAAACCAACUGAAAUGUCAGCAGUUCGUGCCCGGCUCCAAGGUCUUCACUGCAAGGCCAUCCAGUCUGAGCAAAGGCAUCAAGAGGGAGGGCCAACUAGCUAAGUACAGGAUGCCCUGCCCACCCUUCCACAGGGACUCGGUUGGCCUGCCUUAUUUACAGCUCCCAGACAUCCAGUGACUUCACUGGUGCUAAAUAGAGAAGAGCCACAGGGACAUUUCUGGAACAAUGGGAAUCUUUCUUCCCCACUAAACUGUCAGCUUCUUUCAUAUACAGAUACCCACAGCAACAAAGCCCUACAGAAUAACCCAGAAAACAAGCUGCCCAGGACCCAGAAAAAGAGGCAGCACAAAUCUCAAUGGAACACGAGGGGUGUCGGAUACUUCCUUUGAAGUGCAUGGUAUAUCGUGUAUCCCUUGCCAGCCUUGGGAGAUGACCUCUUUCUGAGUUUAGGGGACACAGACUCUAUGUGAGCCACACAUGAGUACAUUUCAGACUGGUGGUGUGUGAGCCCAGCAAACACAGCUCGGGACUCUCCUGCUAGAACCAUGUUCCCAUGCCUGCCUCUAGCCUGACAGUGUCUAGAGUUUCUCAGUAGAAGGUGGCCUGGUCAGGCAUAUCGCAUAGAUGGACAGCCAUUAGAGCCCGCUAGAGGCAGGAGCCCGGUGUGUGAACCUGUCUCCAUCUCACUCAAGCCCAGAAGGGGCUUCCCCACUCCCUCCCAAGAGGCUUCUACCAGCCUCAGCUGCCUGGCUUUGAACUGUUGAACUUGUCAGCAUGUGUUGGACACUCUAAUGUAUCCUCUUUUCUUUUUUGUACUUGUUUGUAUUACUCUUAAACAUAAUCGAGCCUUAAGGUGAAGGAAAUCAUUGUACUAGUUCAACAUGACACAUAUGUCCUCCCCUGGGAUUCUCUCCCCUUCCACCCGAGAAUGACCAAGCAAGGCCUUUAUUGUGGUUCUGGUGGCCCAGGAAGACCUGAAGCUAUGCAUCAUGGAGCUCCACAUGCCAUUCUAGGUUAGAAGGGCUCUCAGACUUAACCCUACAAACGCCAUCAAUAGAAAACCCUAUAUUUCUCUAUUACAUUUUAUCUUUCAAAGCAUGGGGUGGUGGCCCGUGCAUGGCUCAUCCCAGAAAGAGCACAGCCCAGACUGAUGCCCCUGAUGCCCAGCAUUGCUUCUCACCAGUACAGGUCUGUUCACCAUUGUGGUCCCUUAUCAAGGCAGCCUGCUGAAUACAAUACCAUACCAGCCUUUCAGAUGCCAGGACCAGCGAGAGGUCAUGUGCCUCUUCAGUGGCAUAGCAAAGGGACAAGAUCACUGUAGGCUGAGACAAAGUGACAGAGGGGCUUUGACGGAGAACCAAGUACCCAGACAGGAAGGGCAUUCAUGCGGGAAGCUGGCGGGUCUCUGGAAUGCCUUUUCUGGCACAGGGCACGCAGAAGCAGACUUGGAUCAGAGGAGGAGAAUGUUGCAGCUCUAUUUGGGUCCUGUUGUGUUGGAAUCUCGAAUGGAGAUGCCACACAGGCAGGGGCAGUGAGCAAAGGAGAGACCUGGAGGAGGCCCUUGGAUUGUCCAGAUGUGCCAUUGGGAGACACAAAACUUCAUCUUCAAGGGCAGGUGCUGUCACCAGCUCUUACCACAGAAUCCGCAGCAUGGAGCAAACAGCAUUUGGAAGUCAUGUUCACAGUACUUCCGGCCCUCAAACUGCAAACGGGACCACAGACAAAAGACGAGCAAGUCAUUCAUCAUCCCUGUAAUCCCUUGUCCCUAAUAAAUAACAGUGGCCUGGGGUCUGAAGAAGAGAGCCUUCUAGAGCUAGCUGGAGCAGGGGACUAGCCAUGCAGUUUAGCAGAGUGCAAAGUGAGGGUUUCUCAGAGAUGCUGAGGGUCCACGGUCAGCUCUUGGGGAUUCUGCUAUCUGCUGAGGACCCGAGGAUCCUGACAAUAGGCCAAGCUGAGGUGGGAGCUGGGGCUGGGGAAGAACGGGUCGAAUCUGAGUUCCAUGUGCCACUUUGUCCUGCAUGUCUGACCAGAUCAGUGUCCCCAGAAACUGCAGAAGACCCAUGGAAGGAAGAGGGGAGAAAGAGCACAGGAGGGCCUGGGGGACUGGCCUGACAAAGCAAAGCCCCCGAGUGCUGCGGUCAGCCACUGUCAUGUAUUGUCCCAAGCAUGACCAAAGCUUGUCUCUGCUUUCCGUUCCCUUAACAAUUUGCUUUCUUUAAAAAAAAAAAAAUUGAGGGCUGUAGCUCGGUUUGUAGGAAGCCCUUGUUUUGGGUCACAGUUUCGGGUGUGGCAGUGCCCUUGGGAGAUAGAGGCAGGAGGCAGCAGAAGUUCAAAGUCAUCCUCCGUAAGUUUCUUCUUCUAAAGCAACACGCAGCUCUCCCCAGUGAGCCAGAGAGGCUACAGAGGCUUGAAUUUCCUCAGCGCCAAUAUCUCCCAAACACCCACUAUGUGCUUUGCUUGGCUCUGGUCUAAAACCUCUCAGAGAGAUCUCCCCAGCCCUCUGCUGCCUCUACAGCCAGCCAGCGUUUCUCGGGAGCCUGGAGAGCAACAGGAGAUUUUCAUCUGGCAUGCGGACCACAUACCCACAUCAGUCAACCAAUGAUGCCCAGCUCCCUGCCCCCACAAGAAACACAGCCCUCUCUGAGCUCUGGUCCUGCCCCCCUCCACUGCAGCCCAGUGGAGCAGUGCAGUAAGUGUUUAACCAACUCUGGCAGAAGGCAACAGAGGCCCUGACUCUGGGUCUGCCAGAUGCUGUGGUAUAGAUCUUACUGCCAGGCUAGUACCAUGCCGACGUCACAAAUAGCACCACAUCGGUAGAAAUAAUUUCAGAUGCAUACAUGACAUGAAAGUCUAAUGAAAUAAUGAGAAGUAGGACAUUUUAUGUGUUUGUUAUCUUCAUUUUUAAUAAAGUACUAUAACCCUG